ACAAAAGUGAAGAAUGGGAGUAGUAGAAGAUAUUGAAGCUUAUAGAGAGCCAUGAGUGGUGGAAAAUGGCAGCUUUAAAUCUUUGAACUCACCCAGGAGCUGCUGCCUGAAUGAAGUAGGGUAAGACGGUCCCCGCCGUUAUAGGGUUUGAGUGGAUUAUUUUAAAUAAUCAAUUAGAGUGGUACCGCGGAUAUCCCGUCUCUUAU
rnacentral:ncRNA from 1 species